rnacentral:rRNA from 1 species
AUGGGGGACUUUGAUGGUGAGGAAAAAGAAUUGAUCAAGAAAUUGGUAAACUUUCGCAUGAUCGAUGGUGAAAGAACGAGAGUUCGUGCUAUUGUUUAUAAAACUUUUCACCGCCUAGCUCGAACUGAACGCGAUGUAAUAAAACUUAUGGUUGACGCCGUAGAUAAUAUAAAGCCAAUAUGCGAAGUGGUCAAACUAGGAGUCGCAUGUACUAUUUAUGAUGUUCCUGGGAUUGUAGCCAGGGAUCGUCAACAAACCUUAGCUAUUCGUUGGAUCCUUGGAGCAGCUUUCAAAUGA